AGCCUAAACCAUUAGAUUAUUCUGAUGGCAUGGUUUAAAAAACUCGCAAAAGCCCAAAGACGGUCAUCCGUCUGGUUAUGCUUUUGCGAGUCAGCAGCCGAAAGGUUGCUGGGCGCCAGAAAUGGUGCC
rnacentral:sRNA from 1 species